UACGUAGGGGGCAAGCGUUGUCCGGAUUUAUUGGGCGUAAAGAGCGUGUAGGCGGCCGUACAGGUCAGCUGUGAAAACUCGAGGCUCAACCUCGAGACGUCGGUUGAAACCGUAUGGCUAGAGUCCGGAAGAGGAGAGUGGAAUUCCCGGUGUAGCGGUGAAAUGCGCAGAUAUCGGGAAGAACACCUAUGGCGAAGGCAGCUCUCUGGGACGGUACUGACGCUGAGGCGCGAAAGCUAGGGGAGCAAACGGG
rnacentral:rRNA from 1 species